rnacentral:snRNA from 1 species
AGAUAUAAGGAUGCUCUGGUCAAAACAUCUGUAACCCAGUUGGUCGCCAGGGUUGAUUCAGCUGAUCUAACUGGCUAGGCCAAGUGUUCCCUUCCUCACUCAGUGUUCCAGGUGCAUCCCUCGCGAAACUACAAAGAAAAUGAUGUUCCCAAAAGAGAUGAAUAGAUGAGGCCUGAUCUUAGGCUAAAGGUAAAAGAGUAGCUGUAAUCCUUUGCUAGAACCCCCAAACAAGUUUUCAAGAGAAUAUAUAAACUGUCACCUAGGAGUUCACACAAAUGUGAAAUAU